rnacentral:tRNA from 1 species
GCCUGAGUGGCUCAGCUGAGCAUCUGACUUUGGCUCAGGUCAUGAUCUCAUGGUUUGUGAGUUCGAGCCCCACAUUGGGCU